GGAGGGAUGGCCGAGCGGCCGAAGGCGCCUGUCUUGAAAACAGGUAUGGGGUAACCCAUCGUGGGUUCGAAUCCCACUCCCUCCGCCA
rnacentral:tRNA from 1 species